GGCCUGAUGGUCUAGUGGUAUGAUUGUCGCUUCGGGUAUCGCACGCCUGGAUGCUUUGCAUCUCUAUAAUGUGACAGGCCCCGGGUUCGAAUCCCGGUCAGGCCC